rnacentral:miRNA from 1 species
CCCCAGAUGUUGCUGAACUACAACUCCCAUGGUUCUCUGGCUAUCUAUGCAAUUUAAAGAAUCAUGGGAGUUGUAGUUCAGCAACAUCUGGGG